AGAGUUUGAUCCUGGCUCAGGACGAACGCUGGCGGCGUGCCUAAUACAUGCAAGUAGAACGCACAGGACGCACCGUAGUUUACUACACCGUAUUCUGUGAGUUGCGAACGGGUGAGUAACGCGUAGGUAACCUGCCUGGUAGCGGGGGAUAACUAUUGGAAACGAUAGCUAAUACCGCAUAAGAACAUUUACUGCAUGGUAGAUGUUUAAAAGGUGCAAAUGCAUCACUACCAGAUGGACCUGCGUUGUAUUAGCUAGUAGGUGAGGUAACGGCUCACCUAGGCGACGAUACAUAGCCGACCUGAGAGGGUGAUCGGCCACACUGGGACUGAGACACGGCCCAGACUCCUACGGGAGGCAGCAGUAGGGAAUCUUCGGCAAUGGGGGGAACCCUGACCGAGCAACGCCGCGUGAGUGAAGAAGGUUUUCGGAUCGUAAAGCUCUGUUGUUAAGGAAGAACGAGUGUGUGAAUGGAAAGUUCAUACUGUGACGGUACUUAACCAGAAAGGGACGGCUAACUACGUGCCAGCAGCCGCGGU
rnacentral:rRNA from 1 species